UACAGAGGUCUCAAGCGUUGUUCGGAUUCAUUGGGCGUAAAGGGUGCGUAGGCGGCGCGGUAAGUCGGGUGUGAAAUCUCGGAGCUUAACUCCGAAACUGCAUCCGAUACUGGAUGGCUUGAAUCCGGGAGAGGGAUGCAGAAUUCCAGGUGUAGCGGCGAAAUGCGUAGAUAUCUGGAGGAAUACCGGUGGCGAAGGCGGCAUCCUGGACCGGCAUUGACGCUGAUGAGCGAAAGCUAGGGGAGCAAACGGG
rnacentral:rRNA from 1 species